rnacentral:rRNA from 1 species
AGCGUACACGGUGGAUGCCCUGGCAGUCAGAGGCGAUGAAGGACGUGCUAAUCUGCGAUAAGCGUCGGUAAGGUGAUAUGAACCGUUAUAACCGGCGAUUUCCGAAUGGGGAAACCCAGUGUGUUUCGACACACUAUCAUUAACUGAAUCCAUAGGUUAAUGAGGCGAACCGGGGGAACUGAAACAUCUAAGUACCCCGAGGAAAAGAAAUCAACCGAGAUUCCCCCAGUAGCGGCGAGCGAACGGGGAGGAGCCCAGAGCCUGAAUCAGUGUGUGUGUUAGUGGAAGCGUCUGGAAAGGCGCGCGAUACAGGGUGACAGCCCCGUACACAAAAAUGCACAUGCUGUGAGCUCGAUGAGUAGGGCGGGACACGUGGUAUCCUGUCUGAAUAUGGGGGGACCAUCCUCCAAGGCUAAAUACUCCUGACUGACCGAUAGUGAACCAGUACCGUGAGGGAAAGGCGAAAAGAACCCCGGCGAGGGGAGUGAAAAAGAACCUGAAACCGUGUACGUACAAGCAGUGGGAGCACGCUUAGGCGUGUGACUGCGUACCUUUUGUAUAAUGGGUCAGCGACUUAUAUUCUGUAGCAAGGUUAACCGAAUAGGGGAGCCGAAGGGAAACCGAGUCUUAACUGGGCGUUAAGUUGCAGGGUAUAGACCCGAAACCCGGUGAUCUAGCCAUGGGCAGGUUGAAGGUUGGGUAACACUAACUGGAGGACCGAACCGACUAAUGUUGAAAAAUUAGCGGAUGACUUGUGGCUGGGGGUGAAAGGCCAAUCAAACCGGGAGAUAGCUGGUUCUCCCCGAAAGCUAUUUAGGUAGCGCCUCGUGAAUUCAUCUCCGGGGGUAGAGCACUGUUUCGGCAAGGGGGUCAUCCCGACUUACCAACCCGAUGCAAACUGCGAAUACCGGAGAAUGUUAUCACGGGAGACACACGGCGGGUGCUAACGUCCGUCGUGAAGAGGGAAACAACCCAGACCGCCAGCUAAGGUCCCAAAGUCAUGGUUAAGUGGGAAACGAUGUGGGAAGGCCCAGACAGCCAGGAUGUUGGCUUAGAAGCAGCCAUCAUUUAAAGAAAGCGUAAUAGCUCACUGGUCGAGUCGGCCUGCGCGGAAGAUGUAACGGGGCUAAACCAUGCACCGAAGCUGCGGCAGCGACNGAAGGUGUGCUGUGAGGCAUGCUGGAGGUAUCAGAAGUGCGAAUGCUGACAUAAGUAACGAUAAAGCGGGUGAAAAGCCCGCUCGCCGGAAGACCAAGGGUUCCUGUCCAACGUUAAUCGGGGCAGGGUGAGUCGACCCCUAAGGCGAGGCCGAAAGGCGUAGUCGAUGGGAAACAGGUUAAUAUUCCUGUACUUGGUGUUACUGCGAAGGGGGGACGGAGAAGGCUAUGUUGGCCGGGCGACGGUUGUCCCGGUUUAAGCGUGUAGGCUGGUUUUCCAGGCAAAUCCGGAAAAUCAAGGCUGAGGCGUGAUGACGAGGCACUACGGUGCUGAAGCAACAAAUGCCCUGCUUCCAGGAAAAGCCUCUAAGCAUCAGGUAACAUCAAAUCGUACCCCAAACCGACACAGGUGGUCAGGUAGAGAAUACCAAGGCGCUUGAGAGAACUCGGGUGAAGGAACUAGGCAAAAUGGUGCCGUAACUUCGGGAGAAGGCACGCUGAUAUGUAGGUGAAGCGACUUGCUCGUGGAGCUGAAAUCAGUCGAAGAUACCAGCUGGCUGCAACUGUUUAUUAAAAACACAGCACUGUGCAAACACGAAAGUGGACGUAUACGGUGUGACGCCUGCCCGGUGCCGGAAGGUUAAUUGAUGGGGUUAGCGGUAACGCGAAGCUCUUGAUCGAAGCCCCGGUAAACGGCGGCCGUAACUAUAACGGUCCUAAGGUAGCGAAAUUCCUUGUCGGGUAAGUUCCGACCUGCACGAAUGGCGUAAUGAUGGCCAGGCUGUCUCCACCCGAGACUCAGUGAAAUUGAACUCGCUGUGAAGAUGCAGUGUACCCGCGGCAAGACGGAAAGACCCCGUGAACCUUUACUAUAGCUUGACACUGAACAUUGAGCCUUGAUGUGUAGGAUAGGUGGGAGGCUUGGAAGUGUGGACGCCAGUCUGCAUGGAGCCGACCUUGAAAUACCACCCUUUAAUGUUUGAUGUUCUAACGUUGACCCGUAAUCCGGGUUGCGGACAGUGUCUGGUGGGUAGUUUGACUGGGGCGGUCUCCUCCUAAAGAGUAACGGAGGAGCACGAAGGUUGGCUAAUCCUGGUCGGACAU